CUUCGUCUCCAUUCUCCCUCUCUCUCUCACGGCGGAGCUGUUUCGGUUUCUCCGGCAUUAAUUUGCCUGAGAAUCCAAAAGCUCACGCAGUUUCAGAGCUUAAAACUCCAUUGUUCUUUUUUUCCCUCCUCCGGUUUUGUGCAUUUUCUAUCUGAAAUUUGUUCCGUCCGCUAAAUUAAGCUGUUACAUCUCCGAGUCGCGAGAGUGAUCUUCUUGAUGUUUGUAUCAAUUCGAAAUUCCUGACUCUGCAUAUAACCUGAGCCAUUAACACCCGAAUUCAACUAUUCGAAACAAAACCUCAGGUUUGCUUUGUCUUCCUUCCCCAGAAACAUUUUGAUACCCCCCUUUCCUCUUUUCCUUUUUUGUUUGUUUUUCCCCGUUUCAACAUUUUGCAUUCAAUACUUUUCUAGUUUCUUCGACGAGAGAAUAUAUGGAGAGACCAUUUACUGCGUUUCAUGGUACAGAUUCUGCUCUGCUUUUAGUUGAUUUUGCCCCCAACCUGAGAUACGUAGAAAGGAGAAUUUAGCUCUUCGGCAUGGGUUUUGGUGUUUGGCCUUUUAGGUUGAUUCUGGGAGAGAGUCAGUGAGUUGGGGAAUACAGGGUAUUUGGGGAUUUGGUACUUGCGAACCGAUUUGGUUAAAUAAUCAUUUUAGUUAUGUAUCAAUAGUGGUCGAAUAGGUGAUUUAUAUAGUCGGCGUGGUAUGAAUUCGAGGGCUGAUUCCCGAGAUGGCGGGUUUCAAGUUCCUCCGGAGAAACAAGUUCAACAAAAGUUCCAAUUCAUGGGUUCUUGGAUUCCAAUUACACCCACGAAACCUGUACAAGAUACCUCUAGUCUGAUCACAGACGAGAGAGUGAGAUGCCUGGAAGGGGGUGCUGGUGGAUACACGGAGAGGGCGUUGUACAGCAACGGAGAUGUACAGGAUCUAAACCAGACUGAGAAAUGGAUGAAUCGAAAUGAGGGUUAUUACCUUAACGCUGAUUCAGGCAUGGCCAGGAGAAGCAGGCUGAUCAAUUGCAUUGCAGGAUCAUAUGCACAAACCAGUAAUAGUAAUGAGAAGGCAAAUAUUUUUGCUGGGGGUAAUGUAGCUCCCCCUCUACCUCCUGUUACUAGAAACCCCAUUGGAAAUCUGGAUACUGCCAAUGGAAACCCUACUCAAUAUUCAGGUGUGAUUAACAGUUGUUUCCCCGAGAUUGGCAAUUCCCAAGCUGGUCCUAGGGAGUUUGAGUUGGACGAGUUGUUGUUUUCCGAUCAGAUUCCUUACUCAUUUUCAAGCCUGCUGAGUGAUGGAGACCAUUUGUGCCAGGGACUUCAAUAUGGAACCCCAGCGUCUAAUCAACCUCUUUACAACCUGAAUUCACCACCCAGAGGAGAAGCUAAUGGGUCCACCUUCAGUGCAACUACUUUAAAGUUGGUACCAACAACUAAUCAAGCGAAUAAUAUUGAGAAUGGAUCUACACAUGGUCCAAAUUUUUUGACUUGUGACAACUCGGUUCAAGAGAAUGGAUUCUUGGAGAAAAGAGUUACAACCACUAGGCAAGGAAUCACCCAGCAAAAUUCUGACAGUAACAUUCAGAAUGUUGGGGACUUCUCUGUCGUUGAUUCUACAACAACUAAGGAACAAAGAGAUAGAAGCAGACAAAAUGACCAAGUGAUUGGUCUUAAGGGGACACCUCAGUUGAAACCACUGAAAAGGAAAAAGUACAUGCCGAAGGUAGUUAAGGAAAACAAACCCCAGAAGAAGGCAUGGAAACCAGCAACUCCAGCAAAUGCUAAACCUAAAGAGACUGGAACCAGCAGAAGGAAGCGAGCACGAAAGACAAGCUUGAAAGAAUCAGACACUGCUAGACAGACAAGCAACUCUAACCCUGAAGUUUCUGCCAAGAGUUGCAGAAGAGCUUUAGCUUUUGACUUGGAGAAAAGUGGGGAUGCGAGGCAAGAUCACGCUGAGAUUCUCCAGAAGGUUGGUGGCUCAAACUCAGUUUCUGAGACAAGAGUUACAACUACUAGGACUAUCAGCAGUUGCAUGGAUUCAGUAACACAGAUUGACCAGAAUGUUCAAUUACUGACUCCAAACCAAUCUUUUGGAUUAUCGACGGGAACCCAGCAUGCUGGAUUGUCAGGGGGAGAUAAGCCGUCUGCGUUACCUACAGGAGAGAGGCAACCUGAAUUAACAAAUGGAAAUCAACCAGCUCGAUUACUGGCAAGAGAUGAGCAACCCAAAAUAUUGAUCGGAACCCAGCAACAUAGAUUCUUGAUUGGAAGGCGGAAAUGCGAUUUUCCAGUGGCAAACCGGCAAACCCAGUUCUCAACUGAAUACCGGCAACCUCAUUUCCCUACGGGAAUCCAACCCCUUGGCUUGCCAGUCGGGAUGCAGCGGUCUUUCUUGCCUAUGGGAAACCAGCAACCUCGCUUGCUGAUGGGAAACCAACAAUCUCCGUUGCUGAUGGGGAACAUGCAACCUGGGUAUCUGAUAGAGAACCAGCACUCUGGAUAUCUCGCAGGCAACGGGCAACCUGGAUUUUUGAAUUGGAAAAACCAGCAAGCUUGUUUAGCUACAGCAAAUCAACAAUCUGGAUUGUCGAUAGGCAUGCAGCAACCUGGCUUGCCAACAGGAGGACUGCAACCUGGAUUACAGAUGAAAAACCAGCAACCUGGAAUACAGAUGAGAAAUCAGCAACCUGAAUUACUGAUGAAAAAUCAGCAACCUGGAUCAUAUAUGAGAAAUCAGUUGCCUGGUUUACCUGUGAUGAACCGGAUGCCUGGAAAUCCAGGUGGCUUUACUUCUCACUUGAAUAAAAUGGUAGCUGCCUACUUGCCAUCAUCUGGAACUCGAGCACAUGGGUCUUUGUCACAAACUUCUGCAACAAAUUUGCAUGCAGAGAUUCUUAAAACUGUUUCCAGAAAAUUGAGUGCAAGGACUGCUGGAACAUGUCAUAGAAGCAGCAGCAAUGAAUAUGGUUUUUCACAGCAACGUAUCCCUCAAGAAAGUAGCUACAUGCAAUACCAAAAUAAAUGCAACGGUGAACCUCUUGAUGAACUCAGGAAAGCAGUACCUCAAAAUAUUCAAAGAUCAACUCCAUCAAUUUUAUCCAAACCUUUUGAAUCCAGGGGAACCAAGAGAGAGUGUAAUCAUGCAACGGGGCAGAUGCAAAAUCAUGAUUUGGAUAGAACUGAUAAUUGGUCCUUGCCCCAACAGAUAGCUCAAUCGCAAGAUUUAGCAAGAGGCAACAUCCAUAUAGGUGCAGCAUUACUGGAAUCUUCAAAGAAAAUGAAAAUUCAGAAAGAAUUCCCUGUCAAUAUGGAUGGCGUCCCUUAUGAGGUAAUGGAAGUCAAAGAUGAUCCUAAUGAUGACUCCCAAAAAGAUAUAAAUAAUGUCAGCAUCAACGAAAUUGCAUUGAAAGGAAAACCUUGUCCAUUUCAAAUUUCUGUCAAUAAUGGGAAAUGCAUUAUUACCCCACCAAAACCCCCAAGAAUGGCCCCUGCAGUGGGAAAUCAACUAGUAGCUCCGCUUGCUCAUGCUUCAGAGGCCCAGAGUUCAGAAUCUGCUCAAACCAAGACAUCUUCAUCGAGAAGUAAGGCUCAAGCGAAACAGAAGUCCCUACAACAUUCAGGAAAAACAAGAGGGGAACUUCUGUCUCAAGACCCUGUUGCAGACAUGAUCUGCGGGUUGCAGAAUCUUAGUAUAGGUGGCGAAACCAUAGAUCAAAUGGAGCAAAAUUCACUUGUUUUAUACCGAGGAGAUGGUGCAGUUAUUCCAUAUGAGAUCAAGAAGCGUAAGCCAAGGCCUAAAGUGGACCUUGAUGAGGAAACAACUAGGAUAUGGGAUCUAUUGAUGGGAAAGGGGGGAAACGAAGGUGAGCAACAAAUGGAUAAGGAAAAAGAGAAGUGGUGGGAGGAAGAGAGGAGAGUUCUUCGAGGGAGGGUAGAUUCGUUCAUUGCCCGAAUGCAUCUUGUACAAGGAGAUAGACGUUUUUCACCAUGGAAAGGAUCAGUGGUUGAUUCGGUCAUUGGUGUUUUCCUUACCCAAAAUGUUACAGAUCAUGUUUCGAGCUCUGCUUUCAUGUCUUUAGCAGCUAUAUUUCCUCCAAAAGCACACAGGAACCAAGCAGAUGAAAGGAAUAGACCUAGGGUAAUUGUUGAAGAUCCAGAAGGAUUCAUUCUGAACUUAAAUGACAUCCCUGCAUGGCAGGAACAGGUAAUUGAUCAUCCAUGUGACACACAAGCUUCUGGGGUUGACAAUGGGUCAAAAGAUCAGCAAAAGGACAGUUCAAACUCUGGAGCAGACAGAAUUUCUUUUCUAGGAAACUGUAGUCAAAAUUUAGAAAAUGAAACAUUAUCAUCACAAGAUUCUUUUGAUCCUGCAACAUUUCAGUCUAGUGGAGGAGUUAGAUCAUGUUCAGGUUCCACUUCAGAUGUGGAGUUUUCUACAACUAGGCGUGAAUUAAAAUCUGUCAGUGGUUCAACAAAAUCAGUUCAAAUUGGGAAGUCAACCUUGUUAGAUGAUUUUUAUUGUCAAGGGCAUGGAAGAUAUCUCGUGUAUGAAGGAUCUGAUAAUAUUCUGGUAGAAACAGAAAAUAUUUUUCUGCAGAAACCAAGAACAGAGAGACUAAACAACGGGAAGGACUCCUUACCUUUCUGUCAUUCAAGCAACCAUGUCAAUUGUCACAAACAGGUACUUACCAACCCUUCCAGUAGCUAUCAAAAGAACCCGAUUCUGCAGCAACAGGAGCUAGAAAUAGAGGAUUUUGGAAUCCAUGGUGAGAGAAAUGGUUGUUCUUGGCUAUCCAUUGCUCCAAGAAUUGAAAAAGGAAGGAACCAAAAUGAGCCCUUCAGUGCGAUGAGACAGGCCGGAAAUGUUGCACUGCAAACCACAGGUCAAAAAGGAACAUCAAUGCCUCGAGAAACACCAGAGUUAGGAUUGCAUACUUUCCCAGGCAAGCACCUUGAUUGUCAACUAUGUGAUACUCAACAAAAUGAGAUGAAUAAAGCAUCCCAGUCGCAAAGCACAUUCACAGAUUUGCUUAACUCUUCUGGAGAAUGUCUUACAAGACACUCAAGUGCCACACAACACAUGACAGAUGCCCUUCUACUGGAUACGAAAAAUGCUGAAGAGGUGGUUGGUCCAUUCCAUAGGAAGGCUAGCUUGGAGAACAGAAAGGCCAAAUCAAAUUCCAGAAACCGAGAGCAUUUGACAAUUCAAUACAGGGAGACCAAUUCCAAUAAUGUACGAGAGAGAAAAGAGAAGCUUGAUUAUGGGACAAUCCACUGGGAUAGUCUCAGAAAAGAUGUGGAGGCCAAUGGAAAGACAAGACAAAGGAGUAAAGACGCUAUGGACUCCCUCGAUUAUGAAGCACUUAGAUGUGCUAGCGUCGGCGAGAUUUCUGAGGCUAUCAAGGAAAGAGGGAUGAAUAACAUGUUGGCAAGACGAAUUAAGGCAUUGUUGGAUCGGCUUGUUAAGGAUCACGGUAGCAUUGACCUUGAAUGGCUAAGAGAUGUCCCUCCUGAUAAAGCCAAGGACUAUCUCUUGAGCAUACGAGGACUGGGUUUGAAGAGCGUGGAAUGUGUGCGACUCUUAACACUUCAUAAUCUUGCUUUUCCGGUAGACACAAAUGUUGGAAGGGUUGCAGUUAGGCUCGGGUGGGUCCCUCUCCAACCUCUGCCUGAGUCACUUCAGUUGCACCUCUUGGAACUGUACCCAGUGCUUGAGUCCAUCCAAAAAUAUCUUUGGCCAAGACUCUGCAAACUUGAUCAGCGAACACUGUAUGAACUACACUACCAGUUGAUUACAUUCGGAAAGGUUUUUUGCACAAAGAAGAGACCAAAUUGCAAUGCAUGUCCAAUGAGGGGAGAAUGCAGACACUUUGCCAGUGCUUUUGCUAGUGCAAGACUUGCUCUGCCGGCACCAGAGGAGAGGAGCUUAACCGUUGCAAUUAAUCCAGUUGGUCCCCAAACUGCCCCCACCAUGGCUAUUCCUACCAUGGAACUGCCUCCUCCAGAACAAAAUCCACCAACUGAAGCUUCAAAUGGCAGUAAUUGUGAACCCAUAAUUGAAGAACCAGUGACUCCAGAGCAAGAAUGCACAGAAAUAACAGUGUGUGACAUUGAGGAUGCUUACUAUGAUGAACCAAACGAAAUCCCGACCAUAGAACUCGACAUGAAUCAGUUCAGCACAACUCUACAGGAUUAUAUGGAAAAGAACAUGGAACUCCAAGAAGGUGACAUGUCCAGGGCUUUAGUUGCUUUGGAUCCAGCAACAGCAUCUAUUCCGUCUCAGAAACUGAAGAGUAUUAGUCGGUUGAGGACAGAGCACUAUGUGUAUGAGCUCCCAGAUUCACAUCCUCUCUUGGACGGUAUGGACAAAAGAGAACCAGAUGAUCCUAGUCCAUAUCUCCUGGCUAUUUGGGCACCGGGUGAAACUGCCCAUUCAACUCAACCACCUGUAAGGAAGUGUGAAGGGCAAGAGCUGGGCAAGUUGUGCAGUGAUGAGACUUGUUCUGCAUGCAAUAGCGUGAGAGAGGUGAACUCGCAGAAAGUCAGAGGAACCCUUCUGAUACCUUGUAGAACAGCCAUGAGAGGGAGCUUUCCUCUGAAUGGGACAUACUUCCAAGUUAACGAGGUCUUUGCAGAUCAAGAGUCCAGCAUCAACCCCAUUGAUGUUCCUAGAGACUGGAUAUGGAAUCUACGUAGACGAAUAGUAUACUGCGGGACUUCUGUAACCUCGAUUUUCAGAGGUCUUUCAACGGAGAAAAUACAGUACUGCUUUUGGAAAGGAUUCGUAUGUGUUCGGGGUUUUGACCGAAAGACACUUGCGCCCCGGCCCCUGAUGAAAAGACUGCAUUAUCCAGCGAGUAAACUGAAGGCGGCCAAACCCGAAGGCACGGAAUAAAGAAAGAAAGUUUGCUUCUUUGCCUCUUUACUGCUAUCUUUCAAAUAAAAAGCAGACAAUGGUCCAGGAUGUUCUGUCGAAAAAAAAGGAAUAACAAGAGCAUGACUUGACUUCUAAAGGAAGAGGACCCGCAUGUACCCAGAAUACGGAUUUCCAAUCACCAACAAAACCAAAAAGGAAAAGAAGAUAUUGAAACGCGUUGAGGGAGAUUACAAAAC